AUAUCACUUUCUGCCUUUUGACUAAGAUCAAGGAUGGUAUUUGUUCUUAUUAGUUUCUCAUUUCACACCUUAUCUAAGAACAAUACAUCAAAUGGGUUUUCAGAGCAGAGAAAUGAAAUGGGAACUUGCUCCAUCAACUCCACACAGAAGCCUGGUGGGCAGCAACUACAGUAAUGGUUCACCAACU